CCUACGGGAGGCAGCAGUGAGGAAUAUUGGUCAAUGGACGAGAGUCUGAACCAGCCAAGUAGCGUGAAGGAUGACUGCCCUAUGGGUUGUAAACUUCUUUUAUAUGGGAAUAAAACAGGGUAUGCAUACCCUCUUGUAUGUACCAUAUGAAUAAGGAUCGGCUAACUCCGUGCCAGCAGCCGCGGUAAUACGGAGGAUCCGAGCGUUAUCCGGAUUUAUUGGGUUUAAAGGGAGCGUAGGUGGAUUGUUAAGUCAGUUGUGAAAGUUUGCGGCUCAACCGUAAAAUUGCAGUUGAAACUGGCAGUCGUGAGUACAGUAGAGGUGGGCGGAAUUCGUGGUGUAGCGGUGAAAUGCUUAGAUAUCACGAAGAACUCCGAUUGCGAAGGCAGCUCACUGGACUGCAACUGACACUGAUGCUCGAAAGUGUGGGUAUCAAACAGGAUUAGAGACCCGAGUAGUC
rnacentral:rRNA from 1 species